rnacentral:rRNA from 1 species
GAAGAACGCUAGCGGCAGGCUUAAUACAUGCAAGUCGUGGGGCAGCAGGGGUGUAGCAAUACAUCUGCUGGCGACCGGCAAACGGGUGCGUAACACGUACGCAACCUCCCCGUUACUGUGGCAUAGACCAGGGAAACUUGGAUUAUUACCACGUAUUAUAUAGUGAGGGCAUACUUUUUCUAUCAUAGAUUCAUCGGUAACGGAAGGGCAUGCGUUUGAUUAGGUAGUGGGCGGGGUAACGGCCCACCAAGCCUACGAUCAAUAGUUGAUGUGAGAGCAUGAUCAGCCACACGGGCACUGAGACACGGGCCCGACUCCUACGGGAGGCAGCAGUAAGGAAUAUUGGGCAAUGGACGAAAGUCUGACCCAGCCAUGCCGCGUGAAGGAUUAAGGUCCUCUGGAUUGUAAACUUCUUUUCUCUGGGGCGAAAACCAGCUAUUCUUAGCUAUUUGACAGUACCAGAGGAAUAAGCACCGGCUAACUCCGUGCCAGCAGCCGCGGUAACAC